rnacentral:rRNA from 1 species
AGCGAACGCUGGCGGCAGGCUUAACACAUGCAAGUCGAGCGGGCCCUUCGGGGUCAGCGGCAGACGGGUGAGUAACACGUGGGAACGUACCCUUUGGUUCGGAAUAACGCUGGGAAACUAGCGCUAAUACCGGAUACGCCCUUUUGGGGAAAGGCUUGCUGCCGAAGGAUCGGCCCGCGUCUGAUUAGCUAGUUGGUGGGGUAAUAGCCUACCAAGGCGACGAUCAGUAGCUGGUCUGAGAGGAUGAUCAGCCACACUGGGACUGAGACACGGCCCAGACUCCUACGGGAGGCAGCAGUGGGGAAUAUUGGACAAUGGGCGCAAGCCUGAUCCAGCCAUGCCGCGUGAGUGAUGAAGGCCUUAGGGUUGUAAAGCUCUUUUGUCCGGGACGAUAAUGACGGUACCGGAAGAAUAAGCCCCGGCUAACUUCGUG